GCUAACCAUACGAGUGAGCGAGAGGCAAAUGCGCGGCUAAUGCUUUUUGUUAGGUCUGUUUUUCAACGCGGUACUUAGAUGAGCUAAUAAAAUACCAGGAAAAAUACCAGACUUAGCAAGUGAAUUACGAUGAACUCCGUUAGCCGCGGCCCAAGGACUAAGAAAUUUAAUCUUUGGCGGUUCACGUGCAAUAGUGGUGUGGAAUUUAACAAUUAAAAAUGGAAGGAAAACCCCUAAGGGAGGUCAGUGCAGAUGAAAAAGGGACGCCUUAUCCAAGCUGUUGCUCAUUACUAUGGGAAUUCACCGCAGGAAGCAAUACCACAACAGGGGAAAUUCGCAGAAUAGUUAAAGUGCUGGAGGAGAUCCACUAGAGAAUCCCAGUGGGAAGAACAUGUCGAGUGGGACUUCGCUCGAGCUCCGACGAUCUCUCCAUUGAGGAACCACCGGACUCAGUCUCCAUCAGCUACUUGGCAGCUAAUACCCCCUUCCCAUACAGUCCAUUCGUUAGAAACGGUUGGGAUUUUUGACAAAUGUGAAACUCCGAUUCCCACAGGGCACAUCCACCAUCUACCAUCCGACAACAGCUGUCGUUCAGCUGUGACUAAUAAAAACACAAGCAAAAAUUGUUAAAGUGGCUUUUGCCAGACCAAAAUGAACAAUUUACCAAUUAUUUUGGCUGCUGUACAACAGCAAAAUCUUAAGUUGAAUCAGCUGUUAUUGGCAGCCAAUUCAGAGGAGUGGAAUGACGACGAAUUGGAUGUGUACGAAAGCAUUUUUUCUGCAAAAGAGCAAAUGCCACGAAGUGUGUGGAUGCUGGUACGUGCUCUUAAAAUGUAUUAAAAAUACGAUUUAAGAGUGCGAAUUAUAAUAAACAUAAGCGAUACGGGACAUUUUGGGAGAAGGAUAUACCGGAAAACAACGACGAGUUCUUCAAAGAGAGCUUACUUAUGGAGAAGAGGACCUUUUCGUUUUUGGUGGACCGACUUGGUGUUUUGCGGAAGAAGGACACCAACUGGCGAAAUGCCGUUCCUCUUGAAAAGCGGAUCGCUAUAGUCUUGUACACCUUGGGAUCAUCAGCGGAAUAUCGUUUCAUCGGAAGGCUUUUUGGAGUUGCACAGAACACUGUGAGCAAAAUUCUCCACGAAUUUUGCCGUGCACUCAUUUUUGAGUUUGCCAGCGAGUUCAUGUCACCGGACUAUCUUUCUCCAGAAAAAGUGGACGAGUGUGUCAAAGGAUUCGAAGCAAUCGGAUUUUUCCAGUGUCUAGGUGCAAUUGAUGUAUAGAUGUAUAAUGUGUAGAUGGUUGUCACAUCGAAAUAAAACCGUCAGCAGCAGAAGCAGUCGAUCACCACAACUACAAAGGCUGGUACUCAAUAGUAUUAUUCGCUCUCGUGGAUUACAGAUACAGAUUUACCUAUGUAAACAUCGGCUCUGCUGGGCGCUGCAACGACUCCACUAUAUUUCAAAAGUCGAGCCUGGCAAGAAAAAUUGUGUCUUCUUCGUUUCUUCACGAAAUAACAAGGGAAAUUUGUGGCGUUCAAGUUCCGGUGCUGCUUAUUGGGGACCCAUUUUCCACAACUGCAUCCGAAGAACAGCGAAAUUUUAACUAUAAUCUGUCUAAAGCUAGGCGAGUGGUAGAAAAUGCAUUUGGCCAUUUAAAGGCAAGAUUUCGGUUUAUUGGGAAAGGUCUUGACAGCCACUACAAGAAUAAUAAUGCAGUUAUUCUAGCCUGCUGCAUUUUGCACAACAUUUUAAAUGAGCACAACAGCGCUAUAAAUAAAACUUGGCAACAGGCUGCAUGACCUAGGCGAACAACCAAAUCGGACUAAUAUGUCUGCAGAUUUUAGCCAACCUGCAGAAAAAAUAUGCGCAGCUAUUUCCCAAUAUUGUCUAAAUGGUAACAAAU